GUCCACGCCGUAAACGAUGUCUACUAGCCGUUGGGAGACUUGAUUUCUUAGUGGCGCAGCUAACGCAAUAAGUAGACCGCCUGGGGAGUACGGCCGCAAUGUUAAAACUCAAAUGAAUUGACGGGGGCCCGCACAAGCGGUGGAGCAUGUGGUUUAAUUCGAUGCAACGCGAAGAACCUUACCAGGUCUUGACAUCCAGAGAACUUUCCAGAGAUGGAUUGGUGCCUUCGGGAGCUCUGAGACAGGUGCUGCAUGGCUGUCGU
rnacentral:rRNA from 1 species